rnacentral:rRNA from 1 species
AAUGGCCUAACGGCUGAACCAGCAACUUGGAAGAAUGUAGGUGUAUUAAUAUUAAUUAAUGCAAUAACGAUUCUAUCGUAUAAAAUUCUAAAUAGAUUAAUGAUAAUGACUAUUAUCUGUUUAUAAGUCUUGACCAAAUUGCGUGCCAGCAGUCGCGGUAAUACGUAGAAGACUAGUGUUAGUCAUCUUUAUUAGGUUUAAAGGGUACCUAGACGGUAAAUUAAACCUUAACGGGUACUUUUUUACUAGAGUUUUAUAUGAGAAGGGGAGUAUCCUUGAAGUAAUGUUAUAAUAUUUUAAUAACAAGGAGACUGGUAAAGGCGAAGGCUGCCUUCUAUUAAAAACUGACGUUGAGGGACGAAGGCUUGGGUAGCGAGAAGGAUUAGAUACCCUAGUAGUCCAAGCAGAAAAUUAUGAAUGUCAUAAGCUAGAUUAGACUUUACAAUUAAAACACUAAUAUAUUCGGGAUAUUAGAAAUAAAGAGUAGUUUAACUAAAUAGGGUGUUAACUAUAAGGAGGACAACCGCCUAUAGGUAGUCUCUUCUAAUGUAAGUAAAUUUUAGCUUAUAAAUGAAAGUGUAAGCAUUCCACCUCAAGAGUAAAAUGGCAACAUUUAAACUGAAAUCAUUAGACCGUUUCUGAAACCAGUAGUGAAGUAUGUUAGUUAAUUCGAUAGUCCGCGAAAAACCUUACCACAAUUUGUAUAUUAUUAAAUUAUUACACGAGCUGCAUGGCUGUCUUUAGUUAAUGUCGUGAGAUCUGGUUAACUCCUUUAAUUAACGAAAACCCUCACCUUAUUUAUUUACAUAAAGUGGUUCACCGCUAUAUUGGAUUUGAUAAGAGGGAUUAAGACAAGUCAUCAUGGCCAUAAUAUUGU